rnacentral:lncRNA from 1 species
UAGCAAGAGAUGGAGAAGAAACUACAGAACGGCUGCACAUGCCGAGCUUGCAGGAAAGGAAGAUCACUUGCCUCUAGCUGUUGAAUGGCCUUAAGGUGUCACAAUGCCUGGGCCAAAUGCAAAACCUUCUCCAGCUGAGAUGAGUUUAAUUGAGGAUCGUCCUCCUGAACCCUCUUCAGAGAUUCUGAAAUUGUACGCUUCUAUACACAGGGAAUAUAAGACGUGCAACUGGUGCACUUCGCUGGCUUCAGCGGACCUUGGAUCAGACCUUGGGCAUGAGUCACCAAGGUAA